rnacentral:rRNA from 1 species
GACGAACGCUGGCGGCGUGCUUAACACAUGCAAGUCGAACGGGUCUGCCCUGUUUUUUGCGGGGUGGGUCAGUGGCGAACGGGUGAGUAACACGUGAGUAACCUGCCCCUCACUUCUGGAUAACCGCUUGAAAGGGUGGCUAAUACGGGGUGUUCUGGCUGUGCCGCAUGGUGUGGCUGGGAAAGAUUCACUUUUGUGGUGUUUUGGUGGGGGAUGGGCUCGCGGCCUAUCAGCUUGUUGGUGGGGUGAUGGCCUGCCAAGGCUUUGACGGGUAGCCGGCCUGGGAGGGUGGGCGGUCACGCUGGGACUGAGAUACGGCCCAGACUCCUGCGGGAGGCAGCAGUGGGGGGUAUUGCACAAUGGGCGGAAGCCUGAUGCAGCGACGUCGCGUGAGGGAUGGAGGCCUUCGGGUUGUGAACCUCUUUCGCCGGUGAAGAAGGUCCUGCUCUUUGUGGUGGGGUUGACGGUAGCCGGGUUAUGAAGCGCCGGCUAACUACGUG